rnacentral:rRNA from 1 species
AUUGAACGCUGGCGGCAUGCCUUACACAUGCAAGUCGAACGGUAACAGGUCUUCGGAUGCUGACGAGUGGCGAACGGGUGAGUAAUACAUCGGAACGUGCCCGAGAGUGGGGGAUAACGCAGCGAAAGCUGCGCUAAUACCGCAUACGAUCUAUGGAUGAAAGCGGGGGACCGUAAGGCCUCGCGCGAUUGGAGCGGCCGAUGUCAGAUUAGGUAGUUGGUGGGGUAAAGGCUCACCAAGCCGACGAUCUGUAGCUGGUCUGAGAGGACGACCAGCCACACUGGGACUGAGACACGGCCCAGACUCCUACGGGAGGCAGCAGUGGGGAAUUUUGGACAAUGGGCGAAAGCCUGAUCCAGCAAUGCCGCGUGUGUGAAGAAGGCCUUCGGGUUGUAAAGCACUUUUGUCCGGAAAGAAAUGGCUCUGGUUAAUACCUGGGGUCGAUGACGGUACCGGAAGAAUAAGGACCGGCUAACUACGUGCCAGCCGCCGCAGUAACAC